UGCAAACUCAUUUUCUUUCUGACUUGCCUUUCCCAGUUAAGUGAUGAAAUGCAGAUGUAACAAUAUUUUCAAUUAUAUCAAGAUGAUGAAGCAACAUAAAAAAGUUCUAGAAACAUCCCUUGAUCCAUUAAUAGAAUUAAUGGUCCCAUUAUAUCAUCUAACAAGUUUUAUUUUCCUCUGUGUGCUGAGAAGCAUGAAAUUAUCAUGUAAAUAAUGUCACAUCUGUGCAAACAAUUUACAAGGUGCUCUCCAAAUUCAGAUUUAAGCUGUCAUUUCUCUUAGUUUCUUAACUACUGUCUUCCCUGAGGUUUUCUUCCAGCUCACGUGAGAACUGUAUAUUGAUUCUUCAUUGAACCCUCACGUCUAUGUGUCAGGAGUCCGUGUGUCUUGAAGGAUUUAGAGAGAAAGCCCAUCAACACCAUUUGGGAUUAAGAUUCUACGAGCAAAGACAGCCAGAAAUGGGCUUGUAGGAAUUUCUUAGCAUUCCUCGCUGGCUUCAUAACCCUUUUAAAGUGGAGAUCACCUGUGGAAGAUGGUGGGUGUACAGAGCUUGAAAAGUGGAAGAAGCGGCACCACAGCUGACGUUGAAGAGACAUAUGACUCCCCAGAUAGAGGCAGCAGUGACCAUUUGUCUGAGAAUUCCCAGGAGAGUGUGCCCACCACCGCAUCUGGGAUCUGCCAGGCCAAGGCAGUCCAGCAGGAAACCAGCACUGCAGCCACCAGAGAGGGACUCAAAUAAAGGCAUGUCUAGAUGGUGAUAAUGCUACACUCCGGAGCCAGCUAGACGGAAUUUCUGUGGAGUUUUCCUUUGGAAGUCAGCAAAGUUAGGCUUCUCUUCAUCUGUGCAGAAUGGCCAUGGGCAAAAGGGCCUCACAAGACCCUUUUCAAGCUUCAUGAAUUUCUUACUGCAGUUUUUCCUGGCAUAAGGCACUACCUGAAAUGUUAGUUUGGUCAUUCUGAUUGCUCCAGUGAUCUGGUCAGACGUUAUAAUAAGGAGCACUGUCAAUACUACAUUCUUUGUAUUUUUCCCUCCACAAAAUCAUGUUGCCUCACUUUGGGGAGGAGGAUGGGGAACAUUCAAGAUGCACCCAUCGCACCUCAGCUCAUCAUUUAGGAACAAGAGGCCCAGUGGACACAGGCUGGAGGGUUGCUGAAAGGGGCCCUUCUAACAUGGGAGCUAUGUCGUGCCCGGCAGGUUUGGAGAAUUGACCUCAUCAACUCACUGUUCCUUUGUUCUUAUGCCUGGCUGAAAUUCACAGCAAAGAUGCCAAUGCUUGGGUCGCACCAAGACCAAUUAAAUCAUAAUCUCCAGGAUGUGAGGCCUAGGCAUCAGCAUUAAAAAAUCAAUUUCAGGUGCAUAGCCAGAGUUGACAACCACUGACCAAGGUACUGAAAACAACAUAUCCUUAAUGAAAUAAACUGUUUUGUUUGGAUUCUUUAAUUAACCGG
rnacentral:lncRNA from 1 species